rnacentral:rRNA from 1 species
UACGAAGGGGGCUAGCGUUGUUCGGAAUCACUGGGCGUAAAGGGCGCGUAGGCGGCCAUUCAAGUCAGAGGUGAAAGCCCAAGGCUCAACCUUGGAACUGCCUUUGAUACUGUUUGGCUUGAGACCGGUAGAGGUAAGUGGAACUGCGAGUGUAGAGGUGAAAUUCGUAGAUAUUCGCAAGAACACCAGUGGCGAAGGCGGCUUACUGGACCGGUUCUGACGCUGAGGCGCGAAAGCGUGGGGAGCAAACAGG